rnacentral:rRNA from 1 species
UACGUAGGGGGCUAGCGUUGUCCGGAUUUAUUGGGCGUAAAGAGCGUGUAGGCGGCCAGGUAGGUCUGCUGUGAAAACUCGAGGCUCAACCUCGAGACGUCGGCGGAAACCAUCUGGCUAGAGUCCGGAAGAGGAGAGUGGAAUUCCUGGCGUAGCGGUGAAAUGCGCAGAUAUCAGGAAGAACACUCGUGGCGAAGGCGGCUCUCUGGGACGGUACUGACGCUGAGACGCGAAAGCGUGGGGAGCGAACAGG